UGUUCUGUGGCUUAGUAAAGCGCCGGACUAGCGGUACGGAGUCGUGGGUUCGAAUCCCACCAAAACAA
rnacentral:tRNA from 1 species